GACGAACGCUGGCGGCGUGCUUAACACAUGCAAGUCGAACGGAAAGGCCCUGCUUUUGUUGGGUGCUCGAGUGGCGAACGGGUGAGUAACACGUGAGUAACCUGCCCUUGACUUUGGGAUAACUUCAGGAAACUGUGGCUAAUACCGGAUAUGAGCUCCUGCUGCAUGGUGGGGGUUAGAAAGGUUCGGCGGUUGGGGAUGGACUCGCGGUUUAUCAGCUUGUUGGUGGGGUAGUUGCUUACCAAGGCUUUGACGGGUAGCCGGCCUGAGAGGGUGACCGGCCACAUUGGGACUGAGAUACGGCCAAGCCUCCUACGGGGGGCAGCAGUGGGGAAUAUUGAACAAUGGGCGGAAGCCUGAUGAAGCACCGCCGCGUGCGGGAUAACGGCCUUCGGGUUGUAAACCGCUUUAGCCUGUGACGAAGCGGGAGUGACGGUAAUGGGUAAAGAAGCACCGGCUAACUACGUG
rnacentral:rRNA from 1 species